rnacentral:misc_RNA from 1 species
GAUGAAGAACGUAGCGAAAUGCGAUAAGUAAUGUGAAUUGCAGAAUUCAGUGAAUCAUCGAAUCUUUGAACACAUCUUGCGCUCCUUGGUAUUCUGAGGAGCAUGCCUGUUUGAGUGUCAUUAAAUUCUCAACUACACUGACUUUGAAUUGGUGUGGCUUGGAUUUGGGGGGAAAAUUGUUGUGGGCUUUUUGUAUAGUCUGCUCCCCUGAAAUUGAUUAGCGGUACCUUUGUGGAACUGUCUACAGGUGUGAUAAUUAUCUACAUCUUAGACAUCUGCUGGAAUGCUGCUUUCUAAACCUUACUUGUAUUGACAAUCUUGACCUCAAAUCAGGUAGGACUACCCGCUGAACUUAAGCAUAUCAAUAAGCGGAGGA